GACUCGGUGACUGAUAAAGGUGAUAGAUUUUUAAUCUAUUCAUGAGUUUUAGGCUCCCGAGUUA
rnacentral:tRNA from 1 species